rnacentral:tRNA from 1 species
GAGACUUUAGUUUAAAGGUAAAACGUAUGACUUUUAAUCAUUUUUAUAUGGGUUCAAAUCCCAUAAGUCUUA